GACGAACGCUGGCGGCGUGCUUAACACAUGCAAGUCGAACGGUAAGGCCCCUUCGGGGGUACACGAGUGGCGAACGGGGUGAGUAACACGUGAGCAACCUGCCCUUGACUCUGGAAUAACAGUUGGAAACAGCUGCUAAUACUGGAUAUUCAUCGUCUCCUUCCUGGGGGGUGGUGGAAAGCUCCGGCGGUCAGGGAUGGGCUCGCGGCCUAUCAGCUUGUUGGUGAGGUAAUGGCUCACCAAGGCUUCGACGGGUAGCCGGCCUGAGAGGGCGACCGGCCACACUGGGACUGAGAUACGGCCCAGACUCCUACGGGAGGCAGCAGUGGGGAAUAUUGCACAAUGGGCGCAAGCCUGAUGCAGCAACGCCGCGUGCGGGAUGACGGCCUUCGGGUUGUAAACCGCUUUCAGUAGGGACGAAGGGUGACUGACGGUACCUACAGAAGAAGGACCGGCUAACUACGUG
rnacentral:rRNA from 1 species